CUAUAAUUUUACACACACACACACGCACGUGCACACACACACACGAUUCAUUGUGAUAUAUCUGUAUAUGGUGAUAGCAAAAUUUGGUAGAUUUCAUUCCCCCAUACCUCCCUAUUCCAUCCUGUCCUUUCUCCCUCUCAAUCUCCUUCCUCUACUCUAUUGGUCUCCCUUACAUUUUCAUAAGACCCUGUCCCUUUUCUAUUCCCUUGUUUCUUCUCUGUAUAUAGUUUCCACAUAUGAGAGAAAACAUUCAACCCUUGGCUUUCUGAGUUUGACUUAUUUCACUUAGCAUGAUGUUUUCUAGUUCCAUUUAUUCAUCUUUAAAUAACAUAAUUUCAUUCUUCUUUGUGGCUGAGUAAAACUCCAUUGUGUAUAUAUACUAUGUUUUCUUUCAUUCAUCUUUUGACAGAGACCUAAGCUGGUUCUAUAACUUGGCUACUUUGAAUUGGGCUGCUACAAACAUUUGUAUGCAUGUAUCACUCUAAGUAUGCUGAUUUUAGUUCUUUAGGAUAAAUACCAAAGAAUGAAAUAUCUGGGUCAUCUGGUGAUUCUAUUUUUUUAAUUGAGGAAUCUCUAUUCUGCUUUCUUAAGUGGUUGUACUAAUUUGCAGCUCCACCAACAAUGUACAUUAUUUUAAAAAUUUAAUAAUAGAAGCAAGCUACCUGUCUAAAUAUGGGGAAUGAGGCAGUGAAUAAUGACAUAUCAUAUAACAGGAAGUAAUAAUAAGUCUAAGAUUUAGAUUUGUUUUAAUGAAAGAAGAGUCUGCUUGUAAUUAAAUAAAAAAUUUUUCAAAAAUCACACUGAGGUUUAAAUCCAAGUUUAGUAGAGUAGCAAUCAUGAGGAAAUUAAUUCACUUUCUUAAGACUCUAUUUUUUUUCAACUGUGUAACUGGUAUAAUAGUCCAUACCUGAUAGUAUUGUUUUCAGGAUAAAUGAAAUAUUUCAUGUGAUCACUUUAGCAUCGUGUUUACCACUUAACGUUUGGUCAUUUUUCUUCUCAUAUUUAUUUUAUCUUCUAUAUUUCUAAUAUAAAAAUUUGUUGCUUUUAUCCUUUUAUGUAAUUGAAAGCCAUUAAAAGAUUGUCUUUUUUUAAAAAAAAUUCUCAUUAUUAAAUUUCAAAUUCUUUUGUUUAGUGAAAUAAAAGACCUACAGCCUGUUGGAAUUCCAAAACCCUCGAGCAUUGACAACAGUAUUUAAAAUAUUAAUUGUUAUAAGUCUUUAUUCUGAUUUAAAUACACACACAUAAACACAUACAUACAAACUACAUUGUGAGAGUUUUACAAAAGUGCUUUAUGUAAUGUCAUCUUAAUUCUAAAUAUGAUG
rnacentral:lncRNA from 1 species